ncrna:unclassified sequences type-P1 twister ribozyme
ACUUUAAUGCAACCGAGGGAGGCCGUGACAAGUCGGUGGACAAUGCAGAGUCAAAGU